UAUCUUUAAGUGUUUUGCACGUAAACUUUUGAUGUUUAAAGAAGAUUAAUCUAAAGAUAA
rnacentral:tRNA from 3 species